UUGUAUGUUCGUCUGGGAGCAUAAUUUCUUUCUCUGCGCAGAUCAACGACUACUAUUGGUGUAAUUCGGGCACAGGCACCAACGACUGCAACAUCAAUUGUGAUAAACUGAAGGACAACAAUAUUGCGGACGACGUCAAAUGCGCCAAGAAAAUUUUUGGGCGCCACGGCUUCAACGCCUGGUACGGCUGGAAGAACAACUGUAAAGGCAAGCCCCUGUCCUCCUACACCAGUGGCUGCAGCCUCACCUGCUGAGCGCCGCUGCCUCGUGAGCUGAUGGAUCUUCCUGCGCGAUGAUCGGCAUUUAAUGAUUUAGUUCAAUUUAUUUAACAUAUUUAUUCCAUUUAUAAUUGUGUGCAUUCUGCCUCUACAGCGCAUGCUCAAUGCGCUAACUUCACAUUAUAACGCUAUUUGAUCAUAUUUAUUUGCCCUAAUAUUGACUGAUUUAUGAAUUGCUCUGUAAUCUCUAUAUCAUAUGUGUUUUUGCAUCAUAACAUAAACCCUUAGUAAAA
rnacentral:lncRNA from 1 species